AUUUGUUCAUAAACACAGAUGCAAAGCAGCCUCGCUCAGGGGAUGUUCUUGGCAGGCGCUGGCGGGCGCGGCGCGUACGCCGGCGCGGCGCUGCAGGGCCCGCUAGCGUACCUCGAGAAGACUGCCACUAACAUAGACAUGGUGGGGCUGGGCGACGGGCGCAGGUGACGCGGCCGCGGGAGGGGCAGGGGGCGCGGCCGCGGCAGAGGACGCGGCCGAGGCGCAUCCCCCGAGUAUGGCGGCAGCAUGACGCCGCCGUAGCGCCCCCUCCCGGCGCGGCGGCGACACACGCACACUCGCUUGACAUCACCUCGCUAUGUUGGCUAACGUGU